rnacentral:lncRNA from 1 species
GUCGCCGCCCGCGCCUUCCGUGUGGCCAGUGCUUACCCGCUACAGGGGUCUGUUCCUUCCGGCCCGGCAAGGCCUCCUGGGGGCUGACGAUGUUCGAGGCCGAGUUGCCCAUCCUCGGGACGGGAAAGAGGCUGUGGAGGAGGAGGAGCUGGCAAGCCCUCCGGGUGGCCGAGAGCAUGGGAGGGCGCCAGCCGAAGGGUGGUCCCGGGGGACGGCGCUACCGGCAGCGGAGCCGCAGCCGGAACGGCAGAGAGUGGGGUCCGCGGCCGGAACCGGGGGGCGGCAGGGGCGCGGGCGGGCGGGCGCGGGGCGCUGCUGGCGGGGCUGGAGGCCGCCCGUAAUCGAGGUUGCCCAAACCCGGGGCCGUACCGGCUGUCACCGGGGGCGUGUUCCUUCCCUGGACAGGGGGUGUGGCCCGGCGAGUUCCUGAGGUUCUCUCGGGACGAAGUUCUCGGACAGAGAACAAGUGCGCUCCUGUCGUACGAAGUACGUGAAGCUGCAGAGGCCAAAAAACACGCCGAGCCCUUGGGGAUGCGGUUUGAUUUUAAAGUUGCUGCCGUGUCGCCCCGACUUCGCAGUUUAGCAGUGCCCAGUAAGAUAGAAGAGGACCUGCCUUGCAGCCAGCUAGACUGUCAGUUUUUAUUGGAGACAUUGUCAUGACGGCCAUCAGAAGGGUUGCUAUUCGUCCAAAGUGAAAACUAAGCACAGUUCUCAAAAUGCGCGGAAUAGGGAAGAUGAAUUCAAUAUUAAGUUAUGUAUUUACAAACAUAUUUAAGCCCAUUUUGCAGCGGCCAAAAUACGGGAGCAAGGCACCAACAGCACCAUUAAGGCAGUGUAGGUGGACUUAAUGGUGGUGUUGUAUUAUUCUUGUUUCUCAAAUCAUAGGAGAUGACAUUUGUUCCUGUGACAUUCUCAAACUAAAUGUAAAGUGGUUGGAGCGAGGUGAGUGACUUGGGAGUUCAUCUGUGUGAGAUUUUGGCUUAACACAUGUUCUGCCAAAAUGGGCAGGUCGUCUCAGAUGAGGGAGGGAACUUCAGAUUAGCACCCACAGAAAGGAGGCUUUCACCCAGCUUCUUGCAUGGAUUUAGUUACCACUUUGUUUUCAUGUGGUCUGGACUGUAAGGAGGGCAGGAGGCUUAGCAGUGCUAUAGUGUAGAAUGAGGUGUGUUGCCAGGCAUACAACACUAAAAAGGCUCUAGCUUUGAUUUUGUAAUUUGUAUUUCCCCUGGACAAAAUGAUACCUAAACUGUUUGUUAUUGCUAUGAGGCUAUACCAAGUCGGUUCCACAGGCCUUUCAUGAAAACACCCCCAGGAGUCCCUUCUAGGCUUGCGAAGGCCUGGUCACUAUUAAGGGUCUGAAAAAAUAGUCAUUCUGUCAAAGACAAUAUUUUGUGUUUUUCAGUUACUUCUUUUUGAUACAUACUGAUUUGUCUGUGUUUUGUGGUUGAUUGUAUGAAGUUUCACAUGCUAGAAAUACUCUGCAACUAAGAGCUGAAGAAUGUUUAGUGUGAAGAAAUAACUUACUUGGCAUGAUGGCUCACUCCUGUAAUCCCAACACUUUGAGAGGCUGAGGCAGGAGGAUUGCUGGAGGCCAGGAGUUUGAGACGCCAUCUUUACCAAAAAAAAAAAAAAAAAAGGUAUUUAAGUAGUUGGGCAUGGUGGUGUGGUAGCGCACACCUGUGGUCCCAACUACUUGGGAGGCUGCACCAGGAGGAACGCUGGAGCCAGAGA